rnacentral:rRNA from 1 species
UGAGCAAUCUGCCCUUCACAUCGGAAUAACCAUUGGAAACGAUGGCUAAUACCGAAUAUGACUUCGGAUCGCAUGAUCUGAAGUGGAAAGCUCCGGCGGUGAAGGAUGAGCUCGCGGCCCAUCAGCUUGUUGGUGAGGUAAUAGCUCACCAAGGCGAUGACGGGUAGCCGGCCUGAGAGGGUGACCGGCCACACUGGGACUGAGACACCGGCAGA